rfam:Triticum aestivum genome assembly, contig: Triticum_aestivum_CS42_TGACv1_scaffold_178023_2DS
GAAAGCCGUAUGCUUUGGAAGAAGCUUGUACAGUUUGGGAAAGGGUUUUUUGAGAGAAAAGAAAACUUCGAAGGCAAAAUCCUUCCAAAAUUUUUGAGUCGUCUUUAAACUCUUUUCUUUGUCUCAUUUCGAACGAAUUGACUUUUAUUCCUUAUUCUGAU